CGGAAAGCAUUAGGACAAAUACCUAAUGCAUGCGGGGCUUAAAACCUAGAUGACGGGUUGACAGGUGCAGCAAACCACUAUGGUACAUGUAUACCUAUGUAACAAACUUGCAUGUUCUGCGCAUUUAUCCCAGAACUUAAAGUAAAAUUUAAAAAAAAGAAAAAGUUUUCUUUAAAAGAGGGCGGGAAGUAAAAGUAUGAAGAAAGCACGGCAGACAAUUCUCUUGUAAGCUUUGGUAAGCUUCCACUCCUUUUUAGGGAAUUUAAAAAAUAAGAAAAUGAUUGGGGGAAGACGUGAGGUCAAAAAUGUCCCAGUUAAAAGAUGGGAGAUAUUAAACUUAUUUAGAAACUAGGCCGGGUGUGGUGGCUCACGCCUGUAAUCCCAGCAAUUUGGGAGGCCGAGGUGGGAGGAUCACCUGAGGUCAAGAGUUCGAGACCAACCUGGCCAGCAUGGUAAAAACCCUGUCUCUAAUAAAAACACAAAAUUAGCCGGGAGUGGUGGCAUGCACCUGUAACUCCAGUUACUUGGGAGACUGAGACAGGAGAAUCACUUGAACCAGGGAGGCGGAGGUUGCAGUGAGCCAAGAUCGCGCCAUUGCACUCCAACCUGGGCAAAAAGAGUGAAACUCCAUCUCAAAAAAAAAAAAAAGGGAAAGAAAAAGAAAGAAAGAAACUAAUCUGGACCAUGGAGCUGGGAAAUGCAGGAGAGGGGAGCUAAGUGAAUGUGAACAGAGUCCUUGAGACGUUUUGAGGGGAGGGAGCCAGGGAACUACAGGGAGGGGAAGAAAAGAGACAGGAAGGGUUACCCGAGCAGGGAGCUUUCUAGAGGACUGGAGGGAGGAAGGUGAAGGCAUUUGUGACCUGUGGCUUUCAUCUCUUCAAUGAAGGACAAAACAAGGUCACCCGCUUGUGUAGGCCAGUGUAGCCCAGGUGGUUUGAGGAGGGCGGACAAGACAUGAGCCGGAAAUGAAGAGAGCCGGCAAGCGUGAUGGCGACAGAAACAGCUGCAUUCUAUUGGCGACUUUCUUUUGAUAUGUCCUCUAUCAUAGGUGAUCUCCACCAUAACCCCAGAAAGUGGAAGGAGAAAGGAGGCAGCUCUGGGGGGUGGGGAGGACAGAAGACCACACCCUUCACUUCCUUCAAGUCUUUGUUCAAAUGCCACUUUUUCAAUGAAGUUCAUGUUGACCACUCAAUUUUAAUUUGCACACCAUCACACUGCACUCUAGCUCCUAGUCCCUCCCACCCUGCCUCUUUUAAAUAGCACUUACACCUUCCAAUAUGCUGUGUAAUUUAUCAUUUAGCUUGCUGAUGUAUCCCAAGUGCUUGAACAUGGUAGGUACUCAAUAAAUAGCUGCUGAAGAAUGAAUAAAUGGAC
rnacentral:lncRNA from 1 species